AAGUGUUCAAAUUCCAAGGUUGCCAUGUAAAAAUGUGGUGCACCUCAACCGUAUUGGGUGUGAUUUUUUUUCCUCAGUGAGGUGAGAAAGACAUUUGCUAUUCACAUCUUGGAAGCCAAACAAAUAGCAUAAUUGUUUCCUUUCUCAGCAAUGGCAAAUGCAUCUCAACUUAGCUCUGUGCUUUAUACUUCUAUCCCAUAAACCAGCACAUUCCCUUGCAAAAUGGCAUUUGCAGCGGAGCACAAACACUGUGCUAUACCUGGCACUGAGUCUGUGCUUGGGGUCACAAUCAAGACCUUCUGGUGAUAAAGUAGGGUAUGUGCCCACGAUACACAACUGAUGACUGUUUGUGAAUAAACGCUAAUCCUCUGCUGCACUUCCUAAACCUAAGCCUAAAAGUAGAAAAUGAACAGAAAAAUCUGCUCCAUGUCAGGCCCAGAUCCUAUCCAUGUUGUAUGGGUCAUGAGCAAUGACAACAUGGUUUCUUGUUGCCUCCUCUGUACAUGAGCAUACACUUAUCCUUAGGAUUUUAUGGGACAGAUGUUCAAAGCUGCACCAGUGAGUGCCUGCAAAAUGGUAAAUGCGUGUACAAAAACACACAGCAUGCUUACAGAAAAUGAUGGAAAACAGGUCUGGGUGGUUUUUCAGGGGCCACCUGGAAAGGUUGGCUACCUCACCUGUGCAGUCUCCACAAAUAAGUAAGUUCUCGUUAGAAAACAAAAAGAGGUUGAAACUUUCAGGUAUGUACAUGCUAUUAAUCUCACCAUGGCACUUUAAAAACGCAGUUUAAAUGGCAGGUAAUUGUUUCCAUAUUAAAGAAAGCUUAAGAAUGACUGACAAGAUCUGCUUUUGCAGCUCUUAUUUCUGCCAAUCACGUUACUGAGGACAAAAGUAAAUAGUGCAUGUUUAGGAAAUGUAUUUUUAAAGUUGGGCUUUGGCUGAACAGUAACUUCACAAGAAAGUGAAGUCUCCACAACUUGCUGUGACUAAAAUACAGCAAAAGUAUUAAAAAAAUAUGUAAUAAAAAAAACCCAAAGCUAUACAACCAAAAGGCAGUUUCACCAAAUAGACACCUGCACCCUCUUCCAGGCUUGGCAUCAAAGCUGAAUGCUUGGAUCCAAGAGCUGAUUAACUCUUUCCUCCUACUCUAGUUGCCUCCCACUCAUCUGCUCCUCCACAGUCCCUUCCUUAUCUGCUUUUGCUGCCAGGUGGUCUGGCAUUCACUUAUCAUGGCCUCAGAGAACUCUGCAGUACAGGGGAUUGGAAAAACAAACUAAAUUCUCCUCCUGAGCCAGGCAGGUAAGUCCCCAGGUGCUUGUCCUCAUUACAGAGAUUGCUCUGGGAGCUGGAUCCAGCUGGCAAAGGUUUCUCAUUAGGAUGGCAAGGCUGCAGAUGUGAAGCUGGAGGGAAAGUACAUAGCUGCUGAGUAGAGGUGGCCUUGGUAGGUGAAUGAUGAGUUUAAGUGUAGAGUUCUGUUAGUUAUAGCAGUGAUAUGCAUUUUUAGUGCAUUCAGGUUUGCUUGAGUUUGGAUUUUCUUUCACUUCCUCUGCUCUAAAGAUGUUAUAAUCUUGAAAGUGUUAAUUUUUUACUAGUUCUAGCAUAGACUUAGGACAGGAAGAAGCCUGUUCAGGGCUGCUGGAGUUUGGAUCUUGUAGCAUAUGUGGGAGUUGUGCUCCAGCUAUUUUUCUGUUAGGUAUAUGAGGAAAGGCAGGGGGAGUGGGAAGAGCUCAGGCUUUGCUUAUUUUUUUAUGCUGCAAACAGUGUAGCUCUGUAGAGGAAAAUGAAUUUGAAGUGUUGACCUAGCACGGCAAAGUCAUAGGCAACACUUGACAGCAUUUUCUCUCUUAGAAGUAUCUCAGAUGCAUGGGAAGGUGGUCAAGAACAGGAGCUGCUGCAACUGACCUUUUGACUGGAAAUAGUAGAUGCCAGCAGUAUCAAAAAACAGGAGAAACAAAUAAGAUGCAGGUCAGUUGCAGGAGCUCUCAGAGUCCUGGUGUUUCAGGCCUGUAGAAACUCUGCCUUGUGUAGCAGCAGGCUGCAAGGCUGCCUAAGGAGCUUCCACAAACAGUACUUUAUGUGUCUGAUUGCAAGCUGUGCAGCACUCACACAACUGUGCAGUAUUUACUGGCUGGAACUGUUGGGCCAGCUGGACCACAGUGCACACAGCCAUGUGUCUUCCCAGAAGUCAGCAAGAUGUGUGUUUGCACAUCCCAGCAAGCUCUGCUUGCAAGUAGUUCAGUGGCCUCUUUCUCCUCUGACUCUGUAAAUGGAAGGAGAUGUGUUCUGUGUAACCCAGCCAAAAAUGGCCAGGCUCUGCUCUCUGUAUGUUUCCAAGCAUCAGUAAGUCUAACGGUUGUGCUUAUUUUGUGAUAAAUGACGAUAAGUACUGGCUGAGGAAGCUGUUGCCUGUGAAGACAGUAUCUGUGUGUCCACUGACCCCUGUUGUCUCUUACUCUGUGCUGAUGGCAUGUGCCAGACUCUGUGUUGUCUCAGUGCCAGGUGACUGCGGGAUCCAUCCAGCCGACUGCUUUGUGGUGAUGAAUUGCCGUAUUUGCUGCUGGCUGCAUAUGGCAGGCAAAGACAAUAAGAACUGGAUCAUCUGCCUUUGUUAUUCUUAUGGGAGCACAGAAGGAUCUGAAAACUGUAGUCAAGUCAGAAGCUAAGCUCACACGGAAUAUACACCUUUUAUUAAAGAGAAAGCUCUGAAGAUUACAGAAGUGCCCCAACAAACCUUCCACCGUAUGCAAGUGUGAAAUCCUGACACCAAAAAAAAAUCAGUGACUGAAUAAUCCUUCCCAUCGGCACCGGGAUCUGAAUCAUUUCAUCAUUUCAGAAAUGGCCCCAGCACCUCGAGCAGCCCACACAAGCAUGAGCUGAGGUUGGCAAGGGUAAGCACGGCUCAGCUCAUGGUGCUGCUCCUCAGCCAGAAAGUGCUGCAGAACCCGAGCUGCUGCUCUUGUUCCUCAGCUGAACUGACAGGGAAGGGCAGAGUUAAUUACACCGUGCCACGCAUUUAGAUCUACAGAGCCCCUCAUUUCAUGUGUUAUCUUCCUAUUUUAAUCGCUUAGAUUUCUAGAAAACAAAGUAAGGCACCAUGUAAAACAUCACUAUGGAAACAUCACAGGCUCACUCGCACUUGACUGCCAAGCGACUACCUAACUGAAGUUUUACAUCCUCUUGGAUCGCUGCUGGCCAUCUGCUCUCCUUCAAACUUCUCCGAGUUCUUUAUAUCCCUGAAAAGUUCAUUUUUAGAAAGGAGAGAGGAGGAGAAAGAAAGGGGAGAAUCCAGCAUUCUUGGCUAUCACGGAGCUAUUGUGAAAAGGGAAGAUAAAGUGGCUUUGGGGCAGCCCCUUAAAAAGACAAAGCUCUGCUUUCUGUGAAGGAAUUCUGUAGAAAACACCCCACUUUCAGAUGCACUUCCAUGAUAAGGGUAUCUAUUGGCAGCCACAAGGCACAACAAAUAAACAGCUGCUUCUAGUACUCUGGCACUAAUCGUCUUCCUCUCUUUCCCUCCUUCAGCGUCAAAUUUAUUUUCUCCUAAAAUGUAACAGUUUCUGCCUACACUGGAGCUGCUGGCUGCAGGCUCCCCGGUCUCUCUCCAAACAAAACACAGCAAUGGAUUUCCUGCCAAGCGCUGGAGAAGUUUGAAGACUUCAGUUGUUAAAAACACAACCUUUUUAUCAGUGCCCCCAGCCCGCCAAAGGUAAUAAUGGGCCGCGGCGCGUUUCCAUUAACGCACAGGACCCACAGACAUUUCGAACGUCUAAUGGAGAAACUCCAUAAAAGCACAUAUUGAGAAAUAAAUUAAUUAAAUUAAACUGUCAUGUGAAGAUAUCGCUUAAUUUUACAGAGCGGAAGGCGCUCUUAAUGGGAAUGGAAUGGAUCAGUGAGCAUUUCAAAACCCAAAGCUAUAAUUUAAAAUCAGCCUCUCUUCCAGCGUGCGAGUCACAAGACGUGUUUAUUAUAGCCUUGCUUUGUCAAUUGUUAUUGGUUUAGCAGAGACAAAGCCGCGUUGCUUUGCUUCCUCGCCCUCCUGGCUGGGUCAAUAUUUGUUGAUGUCAGACUAUUGACAAGCAAACCCAACGCUGAAACAGAAUCGUGCACGUCUUGGAUGAACUGGCAAAAGUGCGGUCCAAGGUAAACGUAAUGCUGAAGCCUAUGUAAGUUAUUUAUCAGGUAGCAAGGGAAAAAAUGAGAAGCAUUUCAGCUUCUUUAAAUAAACCAGUCAGAUCUAUUUGCUGCUGUUCUUGAAGCCUGCUAUGUGGCAGCAGACACCAAUUGAUAGAAGUAAAAUAAAUAAGUGAAAAUGAAUGCCAUCAUUUGUAAGCUGCUGCUCUGAGCUUUC